UCCGUAGGUGAACCUGCGGAGGGAUCAUUACCGAGUUUACAACUCCCAAACCCCUGUGACAUACCACUUGUUGCCUCGGCGGAUCAGCCCGCUCCCGGUAAAACGGGACGGCCCGCCAGAGGACCCCUAAACUCUGUUUCUAUAUGUAACUUCUGAGUAAAACCAUAAAUAAAUCAAAACUUUCAACAACGGAUCUCUUGGUUCUGGCAUCGAUGAAGAACGCAGCAAAAUGCGAUAAGUAAUGUGAAUUGCAGAAUUCAGUGAAUCAUCGAAUCUUUGAACGCACAUUGCGCCCGCCAGUAUUCUGGCGGGCAUGCCUGUUCGAGCGUCAUUUCAACCCUCAAGCCCUCGGGUUUGGUGUUGGGGAUCGGCGAGCCCUUGCGGCAAGCCGGCCCCGAAAUCUAGUGGCGGUCUCGCUGCAGCCUCCAUUGCGUAGUAGUAAAACCCUCGCAACUGGAACGCGGCGCGGCCAAGCCGUUAAACCCCCAACUUCUGAAUGUUGACCUCGGAUCAGGUAGGAAUACCCGCUGAACUUAAGCAUAUCAAUAAGCGGAGGA
rnacentral:rRNA from 2 species